GUCGAGAAUCUUUCACAAUGGGGGCAACCCUGAUGGAGCGACGCCGCGUGGAGGAUAAGGUCUUCGGAUUGUAAACUCCUGUCAUGCGUGAACAAGGUUGCUUGGAUAAUACCUGAGCAAAUUGAUGGUAGCGCAAGAGGAAGAGACGGCUAACUCUGUGCCAGCAGCCGCGGUAAUACAGAGGUCUCAAGCGUUGUUCGGAAUCACUGGGCGUAAAGGGUGCGUAGGUGGCGUGGCAAGUCAGAUGUGAAAGCCCGGGGCUCAACCUCGGAACUGCAUCCGAUACUGCCAUGCUAGAGUACUGGAGGGGUGACUAGAAUUCUCGGUGUAGCAGUGAAAUGCGUAGAUAUCGAGAGGAAUACCAAAGGCGUAGGCAGGUCACUGGACAGUUACUGACACUGAGGUGCGAAAGCAUGGGGAGCAAACAGGAUUAGAAACCCUGGUAGUCC
rnacentral:rRNA from 1 species